rnacentral:lncRNA from 1 species
CCUCGGGUGACUUGGUUCUUUGCCUCGGGUGAUUUUGCCAAAUCGGCUCGGGACGAAGGGAGAAUUCAGCUCGGGUGAGGAUAUUCUGGGUCUCGUUUCCGAGCUGAAGCAGGAUGACCCGAACCGGUUUAAUCAUGUCCUAACCCGAGCCGAUUCGGUGAUUGAUCCCGAGCCGAUUUGAUCGUCGUUUACCGAGCCAGUUCGGCGAGUGAUCCCGAGCUGGCCUAGUCAUAGUUCCCCGAGCCGUUCUGGUGGUAGAUCCCGAGGUGUCAUGUUUU